AUGAACGCUAGCGGGAGGCCUAACACAUGCCAGCCGAGCGGUAGAGUUUCUUCGGAAACUUGAGAGCGGCGCACGGGUGCGUAACACGUGUGCAACCUACCUUUAUCUGGGGGAUAGCCUUUCGAAAGGAAGAUUAAUACCCCAUAAUAUAAUGAUUGGCAUCAAUUAUUAUUGAAAACUCCGGUGGAUAGAGAUGGGCACGCGCAAGAUUAGAUAGUUGGUGAGGUAACGGCUCACCAAGUCAAUGAUCUUUAGGGGUCCUGAGAGGGAGAUCCCCCACACUGGUACUGAGACACGGACCAGACUCCUACGGGAGGCAGCAGUGAGGAAUAUUGGACAAUGGGUGAGAGCCUGAUCCAGCCAUCCCGCGUGAAGGAUGACGGUCCUAUGGAUUGUAAACUUCUUUUGUACAGGGAUAAACCUACCCUCGUGAGGGUAGCUGAAGGUACUGUACGAAUAAGCACCGGCUAACUCCGUG
rnacentral:rRNA from 1 species